UACCAGCACCCCGAGUGGUCGGGACGAUUAUUGGGCCUAAAGCAUCCGUAGCCGGUCAUGCAAGUCUUCCGUUAAAUCCAGCCGCUCAACGGUUGGGCUGCGGAGGAUACUACGUGGCUAGGAGGCGGGAGAGGCAAGCGGUACUCAGUGGGUAGGGGUAAAAUCCUUUGAUCCAUUGAAGACCACCAGUGGCGAAGGCGGCUUGCCAGAACGCGCUCGACGGUGAGGGACGAAAGCUGGGGGAGCAAACCGG
rnacentral:rRNA from 1 species